UGCCCGAUGGUGUAAUGGUAGCACAGCGCCCUUUGGAGGCGUUUGUCUUGGUUCGAAUCCAAGUCGGGCAGCCA
rnacentral:tRNA from 1 species